GUGAUUGGUGCUUGCAUCAUGAUUUACAUUUGAGUGAGUGGCGAACUGGUGAGUAACACGUGGGAAACCUGCCCAGAAGCGGGGGAUAACACCUGGAAACAGAUGCUAAUACCGCAUAACAACUUGGACCGCAUGGUCCGAGUUUGAAAGAUGGCUUCGGCUAUCACUUUUGGAUGGUCCCGCGGCGUAUUAGCUAGAUGGUGGGGUAACGGCUCACCAUGGCAAUGAUACGUAGCCGACCUGAGAGGGUAAUCGGCCACAUUGGGACUGAGACACGGCCCAAACUCCUACGGGAGGCAGCAGUAGGGAAUCUUCCACAAUGGACGAAAGUCUGAUGGAGCAACGCCGCGUGAGUGAAGAAGGGUUUCGGCUCGUAAAACUCUGUUGUUAAAGAAGAACAUAUCUGAGAGUAACUGUUCAGGUAUUGACGGUAUUUAACCAGAAAGCCACGGCUAACUACGUGCCAGCAGCCGCGGUAAUACGUAGGUGGCAAGCGUUGUCCGGAUUUAUUGGGCGUAAAGCGAGCGCAGGCGGUUUUUUAAGUCUGAUGUGAAAGCCUUCGGCUCAACCGAAGAAGUGCAUCGGAAACUGGGAAACUUGAGUGCAGAAGAGGACAGUGGAAU
rnacentral:rRNA from 2 species